ensembl:miRNA Mir342 microRNA 342
GAAAAUGGGCUCAAGGUGAGGGUGCUAUCUGUGAUUGAAGGCCAUGGUCAAUGGAAUUGUCUCACACAGAAAUCGCACCCGUCACCUUGGCCUGCUGA